UGAGUGGAGUAAGUCAGACGCAAAGAGACAGUAUUAGAACAAUACAGAGAUGAUUACCAUGGCACCCGCACAAGGAUGAUAUGCAAGUUCAUGAAGCAUUCCAUAUUUUC